rnacentral:lncRNA from 1 species
GCCAGAGUUGGCUCCGAUGGGGAUUCUCUGAUGCUCAAGUUUGUUUUCAAAAAAAUAGAAGAGAAAGGGCAUGCAAGAGAAAUUGCGCGCAUGUAUCUUGGGGUCCCCUAGAGGCCCUUUUGUAGGCAAGGGUUGAGAGGUCGUUUUGAGCAGGUUGUUUAGCCAAUUUGGAUGCGAUAUGAUGAGAUUUUUUGUUGAAAUUUUUG